UACGUAGGGUGCAAGCGUUAAUCGGAAUUACUGGGCGUAAAGCGUGCGCAGGCGGCUUUGCAAGACAGAUGUGAAAUCCCCCGGGCUCAACCUGGGAACUGCAUUUGUGACUGCAUGGCUAGAGUACGGUAGAGGGGGAUGGAAUUCCGCGUGUAGCAGUGAAAUGCGUAGAUAUGCGGAGGAACACCGAUGGCGAAGGCAAUCCCCUGGACCUGUACUGACGCUCAUGC
rnacentral:rRNA from 1 species